rnacentral:rRNA from 1 species
UACGUAGGGUGCGAGCGUUAAUCGGAAUUACUGGGCGUAAAGCGUGCGCAGGCGGAUGUUUAAGACAGGUGUGAAAGCCCCGGGCUCAACCUGGGAAUAGCGCUUGUAACUGGACAUCUAGAGUACGUCAGAGGGGGGUGGAAUUCCACGUGUAGCAGUGAAAUGCGUAGAGAUGUGGAGGAACACCGAUGGCGAAGGCAGCCCCCUGGGAUGAUACUGACGCUCAGGCACGAAAGCGUGGGGAGCAAACAGG